GCCAUAGCUCAGUGGCAGAGCAUCUGCUUUUCAUGCAGAAGGUCCCAGGUUCAGUCUUCAGCAUCUGGUAGAUAAA